rnacentral:lncRNA from 1 species
CACCCCCAUCACACCCCUCUCCUCACUUUGUCUCUAGCAUAAACCAAAAGAAACCCUAGCCGACUCAUAUCCCCAAGCCUCAUCCACCGUAAACCACCGUCGGAAAUUGCCUCACGACGGUUUCAGUGAUCCAAAACCCUCCAAGUUUACACCAUAGAACCCUUAUCCCUUCCUCAUUACGGAUCUCCAAUAAGUUUUCCUCGAAUCAUUGCCAAAUCCUUCGAAUCUUAGAUCGAAGAAUUUGGUCAGAAUCCUAACCGUUCCAAAUCACUACAAACUCAUACUCUAUAAUCCUUACCCAUAUUUAAACGCUAAAUUACCCUUAGUCCCUUCCAAAUCGAUCUUAAUUUGCCCGAAUUUUAGAUCUUAGAUUCAGAAACCCUAAAAAAACCUCUGUCUGAGUCGAUUAUAGGGUUUUAAUGGAUCCAUUCUGAAUGAGUUGACUGCUUUUGAUGAGAGCAGUUGACUCAUAUGGAUUGGACCUAUUAUUCGAGUUACCUAACUCCGACCAAGUCCUCCGGUUCCAGUUGGUUCAAUUACGGGUAACUUUCUGAACUUGUUCUUUCUAUCUCCUUUUCCUUUUUCUUUUCCCUUGGCCAUCUUCUUCUCCGUUGUUUUGAUUGAUUUUUCAUGGUUUGGUCUAGCUGCAAUUGCAUGCUCUAGGUUUUUUGUUCUGCAUUGUUGUCAUUAUGAACUAAUCAUUCUAGUUUUGGUUUUACUUUAGUUUAAUUUGAUCAGUUUCCCACAUGAUUUCGUUUCGUUCUUCAGAUUUCUUUUCCCCUCCCCUAAUUAUAUUUUUGAUUAGUUGCACAUUUAGGUUUAAGUUAAGACUUCAUUCACAUGUCUAUUUGUUUUUGAUUAAUUAGAAACAUUGCAUGAGUUUAAAUUAGGCACUACUGUUUUCCUUUAUUGUCUUCCUGUUACCUCUUUUCGUUUUCUUUUUUUAGAUGCCAUGAUUCAAUCUUUAGUUUAGAGAACAUCUUUUUUUUAUGGAAUAAUUUAGAUUUUAGUUCUAGGUGGAAGCCUCAUGGUUCUUCUAGGCUUUUUGAUUUAGAUUUCUGAUCUCCUUAGGUUUGUUUGUGUUGGUCCUAAUCUGAAAACCAUUCGAAACUUUAGGAACCUAUUUGAAUUAGAAAAGUUUGUCAAAGCUGAGAUAAUGAGUAACCUAAAGGGUAAAAAAGGGUUUAUAACUACGCUAGAAAUCAGAAAUUUCCUAGAAAAAAGAUACAACUGUCCUAGCUGUUACAUAAAGAUGUUGAAAUAUAGGACAGUUAUACCAAGGACAGUACUAUUAUUCCCUAGGAUAAGGAAUAUGCUUAAAAGAUACCCUCCACAAGGCAUCCUAUAUAUAUAGUUUCGCUCACUCUGAAAUUUUAUUAUUGAUCAACAUUUUACUGCAUAAAAAAGUUCCAUUUUAUUUCUGAAAAUUCAAAUUCCAAAAAUCUUUUUAAAAAAACUCCAAAACCUCUCCUUUUGUUAUCCCCCACAAGUAUUAAACAUGGUUUGAAAAUAGAGGGUUUUUCUUGGUGUAUGAUCUGGGGUUUUUGGUUUUAGCUGGUUGUUUUGGAGUCUAAAGUUUUGAUUCUUUGGGUUUGGUGAAGUUGUUUGUUCAUUGUUGCUGUUUUCUGCUUCUGCUCUUCCUCUAAUAGUCUCAUCUUCAUUUUGGUUAUUACUUAACUACUAUUUCAAGGUACAUAUGACCCUUUCGUUAUUUGAUUCCUACGUAAUUGAAACUUCAUAUGAAUAUAAGUUGUUUUCUUUUGUUUGACACCGUUUGUGUAUGUUUCUUAAGUUUUAUAUGUUGAAACUACAGUAGUGCUAAAGCUAUUCUUUCUCUCAAAAUGCAUGAGUUUCUUUAUCUAUAGCUUAUGUCAUAAUGUUUAGUUUCUUUGUUAGACCUUAGUACUAAUUAUCUUAUGAUAUAUAUGCAUUUAUGUUUUUUUUUUGCACUAAUUAAAACCUGUUCAAGCUCCCCUCCUUAAAAUGAUGCUUGUCCUUGAGCCUGACUCUUACAUGGUCAGGUUCAUGGAUUGAACUUCCCCUUUCCUUACCCUUGAGUCUAUUCCAGUAUUCCACUAAGGCAACAUGCCAUGAUUUUGAGCUUGAAACCUAUAUUGGUUUAUGAGUUUAAUCCUUAACAUGGUUAAACCCAUGAAUCACUAUUAUUUUUUUUUUUGCAUUAUGUGUUUAAGUUUUGGGCCUAACAAUAUAGUAUUUAGUAUAAAUGAAGUAAUUUUGUGAAUCUGACAUUUUAACAUGAUCAUAUCCAUGAGAUACUUAAAGAAUAUAGGCUGAUUUGGCAAUAAGAAACUUCAGGUUGGGAGCCUAAGUAAACAACUUGUGAGAAAUAGCUCAAUAGUUGGCCUCUUGCAGGUCUUAUGCUUUGGUUUUGAAGAAGUUGAUAGAAGGAAUUUUGAAACCAGAAGAAACUUUCAUCUUUUUUUUACCUUACUUUUUUUAGAACUUCUUUUUUAGAUUCUAGAUGUUAGGAUACUGAUUCAUUAGGAGUAAAAGUUUUAUUCUAUAAAUUCUUGCACUUACAAUAUUGUAAACGGACCGUUAAAUUUUAAUUUAAGCUUAAUUAUUAGCAGGAUUUCAAUAGUAGAUUUUCCUUUUACUAUGGACAUGUUUAGGGAUGUAUGUAAAUAUUAAACUGGGUUGCACUUGCAAGCAGGCCAAGUCUUGGGCUCAUUCGAGCAAGUCUGACCUGGACAUUGGGCCUGGGCAGUUAGACUCACAGCUUGAACCAACAACAAAUGUGUUUCUUUCACUAAUUACCAAUGCAUCUCUGAUGUAUCUCGCAAAUUAAUAUAGUAGAAUUAAUUUUCAAACUAGCCUUGUGCUUUGAUUUUUCUUUCAAGAAUGACUUCGUUUCAGCCUUUCUUCACUAAUUUGUAUAUAUUGUAUAAAAGGUAGAUAGCUCCAGAUGUAGAUAUCCAUAAUAGGCCCGCCUGGUAUG